UACGUAGGGUGCGAGCGUUAAUCGGAAUUACUGGGCGUAAAGCGUGCGCAGGCGGUUUUUUAAGACAGGCGUGAAAGCCCCGGGCUCAACCUGGGAAUUGCGAUGAAGACUGCAAGGCUUGAAUCUGGCAGAGGGGGGUAGAAUUCCACGUGUAGCAGUGAAAUGCGUAGAGAUGUGGAGGAACACCGAUGGCGAAGGCAGCCCCCUGGGUCAAGAUUGACGCUCAUGCACGAAAGCGUGGGGAGCAAACAGG
rnacentral:rRNA from 1 species